GCCAGGUGUGGUGGUGCACACCUAUAAUCCCAGCAGCUUGGGAGGCAGAGGCAGGAGGAUUGUGAGUUCAAAGCUAGCCUCAGCAAUGGCAAAGCGCUAUUCAACUCAGUGAGACCCUGUCUCUA
rnacentral:sRNA from 1 species